rnacentral:rRNA from 1 species
GUGUGCAAGUGGUAGGAGAGCGUUCUAUUUGCGUCGAAGGUAUACCGGUAAGGAGUGCUGGAGCGAAUAGAAGUGAGCAUGCAGGCAUGAGUAGCGAUAAUUAAUGUGAGAAUCAUUAACGCCGUAAACCCAAGGUUUCCUACGCGAUGCUCGUCAUCGUAGGGUUAGUCGGGUCCUAAGUCGAGUCCGAAAGGGGUAGACGAUGGCAAAUUGGUUAAUAUUCCAAUACCAACAUUAGUGUGCGAUGGAAGGACGCUUAGGGCUAAGGGGGCUAGCGGAUGGAAGUGCUAGUCUAAGGUCGUAGGAGGUUAUACAGGCAAAUCCGUAUAACAAUACUCCGAGAACUGAAAGGCUUUUUGAAGUCUUCGGAUGGAUAGAAGAACCCCUGAUGCCGUCGAGCCAAGAAAAGUUUCUAAGUUUAGCUAAUGUUGCCCGUACCGUAAACCGACACAGGUGGGUGGGAUGAGUAUUCUAAGGCGCGUGGAAGAACUCUCUUUAAGGAACUCUGCAAAAUAGCACC